UGUGGUCAAGUUUCUAAGAGCAAACGGUGGAUGCCUUGGCAUCUGGAGCCGAAGAAGGACGUAGAAAUCUGCGAUAAGCCUCGGGGAGCUGAUAAUCGAGCUGUGAGCCGAGGAUUUCCGAAUGGGGAAACCCCGCCAGGCGACUUGUCGACCUGGUGACUCCCGCCUGAAUAUAUAGGGCGGGUAGAGGGAACGUGGGGAAGUGAAACAUCUCAGUACCCACAGGAAGAGAAAACAACAUGUGAUUCCGUGAGUAGUGGCGAGCGAAAACGGAUGAGGCUAAACCGAUCAUGUGUGAUAGCCGGCGGGCGUUGCAUGGUCGGGGUUGUGGGACACGUCGCUCAGUUCUGCCGGACUGGGACGGUUACAGCGCAUCAUAGUCGAACCGGUUUGAAAGCCGGGCCGUAGUGGGUGCCAGCCCCGUAGACGAAAUGGUGUUAUGGCCGGAUGUGUAUCCCAAGUAGCACGGGGCCCGAGAAAUCCCGUGUGAAUCUGUCAGGACCACCUGAUAAGCCUAAAUACUCCCAGAUGACCGAUAGCGGACAAGUACCGUGAGGGAAAGGUGAAAAGUACCCCGGGAGGGGAGUGAAAUAGUACCUGAAACCGUUUGCUUACAAACCGUCGGAGCCUCCUUUGUAGGGGUGACGGCGUGCCUUUUGAAGAAUGAGCCUGCGAGUUAGCGAUAUGUGGCGAGGUUAACCCGUGUGGGGUAGCCGUAGCGAAAGCGAGUCUGAAUAGGGCGAUUCAGUCGCAUGUCCUAGACCCGAAGCGAAGUGAUCUAUCCAUGGCCAGGUUGAAGCGACGGUAAGACGUCGUGGAGGACCGAACCCACUUCAGUUGAAAAUGGAGGGGAUGAGCUGUGGAUAGGGGUGAAAGGCCAAUCAAACUUCGUGAUAGCUGGUUCUCUCCGAAAUGCAUUUAGGUGCAGCGUUGCGUGUUUCUCGCCGGAGGUAGAGCUACUGGAUGGCCGAUGGGCCUCAACAGGUUACUGACGUCAGCCAAACUCCGAAUGCCGGUGAGUGAGAGCGCAGCAGUGAGACGGUGGGGGAUAAGCUUCAUCGUCGAGAGGGAAACAACCCAGACUACCAACUAAGGCCCCUAAGCGUGUGCUAAGUGGGAAAGGAUGUGGAGUUGCACAGACAACCAGGAGGUUGGCUUAGAAGCAGCCACCCUUGAAAGAGUGCGUAAUAGCUCACUGGUCAAGUGAUUCCGCGCCGACAAUGUAACGGGGCUCAAGCACACCGCCGAAGUUGUAGAUUUCGCACAUAGACAAGCCUUCGUGGUUCAGUCGUGCGGAGUGGUAGGAGAGCGUCGUGUGGCGAGUGAAGCGGCGGAGUGAUCCAGCCGUGGACGCCACACGAGUGAGAAUGCAGGCAUGAGUAGCGAAAGACGGGUGAGAAACCCGUCCUCCGAAAGACCAAGGGUUCCAGGGCCAGGUUAAUCCGCCCUGGGUAAGUCGGGACCUAAGGCGAGGCCGACAGGCGUAGUCGAUGGACAACGGGUUGAUAUUCCCGUACCGGCGAACAACCGCCCAAGCUAAUCCAGUGGUGCUAAGAGUCCUAACCCGGCACUUGUUGAUCCCUUCGGGGUGAGACGGGCCGGUCUAACGCUCGACCCCAUGCUGGUGCGGUUAGCGUAUGAACAGGUGUGACGCAGGAAGGUAGCUGAGCCAGGCGAUGGUAUCCGUAAGGUGAACCUGGUGUAAGGAUGUAGGGCUGACGAUAGGCAAAUCCGUCGUCUGUACGCCUGAGAUCCGACGCGUACCCGUCAGGGGAAAUCAGUGAUCCUAUGCUGCCGAGAAAAGCAUCGACGCGAGGUUGCAGCCGCCCGUACCCGAAACCGACUCAGGUGGUCAGGUAGAGAAUACCAAGGAGAUCGAGAUAAUCGUGGUUAAGGAACUCGGCAAAAUGCCCCCGUAACUUCGGGAGAAGGGGGGCCGGACACGUGACCGGAUUCACUCCGUGAGCGUUGAAGGCCGCAGAGACCAGUGGGAAGCGACUGUUUACUAAAAACACAGGUCCGUGCGAAGUCGCAAGACGAUGUAUACGGACUGACGCCUGCCCGGUGCUGGAAGGUUAAGAGGAAGGGUCAGCCUCACGGCGAAGCUCUGAAUUUAAGCCCCAGUAAACGGCGGUGGUAACUAUAACCAUCCUAAGGUAGCGAAAUUCCUUGUCGGGUAAGUUCCGACCUGCACGAAUGGCGUAACGACUUCCCAGCUGUCUCAACCGCGAACUCGGCGAAAUUGCACUACGAGUAA
rnacentral:rRNA from 1 species